rnacentral:sRNA from 1 species
UGAAGCCUCUAUCUGUGGCAGCGUGCCCAUC